rnacentral:rRNA from 1 species
UACAGAGGGUGCAAGCGUUUUUCGGAAUUACUGGGCGUAAAGCGCGUGUAGGCUGCAAUGUAAGUCGGAUGUGAAAGCCCUUGGCUCAACCAAGGAAGUGCAUCCGAUACUGCGUCGCUUGAGUGUCGGAGGGGUCGGCGGAAUUCCCGGUGUAGAGGUGAAAUUCGUAGAUAUCGGGAGGAACACCUGUGGCGAAGGCGGCCGACUGGACGAUAACUGACGCUGAGACGCGAAAGCGUGGGUAGCAAACAGG